GUGUAUGACUGGGUUCUAGGUGGACUGGACUGGCUAGACGACCUCUGUCUUCACCACUGGAGCUUCUCACUGUGCCCAGACUCUCACACACAACUGGCUGACUGUACUUCAGAACUUUAGGAUAUCAACAAAGAGAAAGAAUAUCAGUCAACAGAUGGGACAGGUAUGGGCCUGAUUGACGUCGUACCUGGUGAAGUACUGGAUGGUAGCGUCUGGCCUGUCAAAGGAGCUGACUGGCUGCUGUAGGGCACGUCCAGUGCCAGUUUGUGGCGAAAUGCCUCCUCUUUACGCCGAUUCGCGAACCAAUUAUAUACACGAACUUCUGUGACCAAAUUAGAGCCCAGGCCAGCCAGCUGAGAUGGAGAAACUCCCCUCUGAAGACACUCCGCUCUAAAACACA